AUACGGAGGACGCGAGCGUUAUCCGGAUUUACUGGGCGUAAAGGGCGUGUAGGCGGUCUUGCAAGUCAGAAGUGAAAUUCCUGAGCUCAACUCGGGCGCUGCUUCUGAAACUGCAGGACUUGAGUGCUGGAGGGGAUAGCGGAAUUCCUAGUGGAGCGGUAAAAUGCGCAGAUAUUAGGAAGAACACCGGUGGCGAAGGCGGCUAUCUGGACAGUAACUGACGCUGCGGCGCGAAAGCGUGGGGAGCGAACAGGAUUAGAUACCCUGGUAGUCCACGCGGUAAACGAUGAAUGCUAGGUGUUGCGGGUAUCGACCCCUGCAGUGCCGGAGUAAACACAAUAAGCAUUCCGCCUGGGGAGUACGGCCGCAAGGUUGAAACUCAAAUGAAUUGGCGGGG
rnacentral:rRNA from 1 species